rnacentral:rRNA from 1 species
ACUAAGCGUACACGGUGGAUGCCCUGGCAGUCAGAGGCGAUGAAGGACGUGCUAAUCUGCGAUAAGCGUCGGUAAGGUGAUAUGAACCGUUAUAACCGGCGAUUUCCGAAUGGGGAAACCCAGUGUGAUUCGUCACACUAUCAUUAACUGAAUCCAUAGGUUAAUGAGGCGAACCGGGGGAACUGAAACAUCUAAGUACCCCGAGGAAAAGAAAUCAACCGAGAUUCCCCCAGUAGCGGCGAGCGAACGGGGAGCAGCCCAGAGCCUGAAUCAGUGUGUGUGUUAGUGGAAGCGUCUGGAAAGGCGCGCGAUACAGGGUGACAGCCCCGUACACAAAAAUGCACAUGCUGUGAGCUCGAUGAGUAGGGCGGGACACGUGGUAUCCUGUCUGAAUAUGGGGGGACCAUCCUCCAAGGCUAAAUACUCCUGACUGACCGAUAGUGAACCAGUACCGUGAGGGAAAGGCGAAAAGAACCCCGGCGAGGGGAGUGAAAAAGAACCUGAAACCGUGUACGUACAAGCAGUGGGAGCCUCUUUAUGGGGUGACUGCGUACCUUUUGUAUAAUGGGUCAGCGACUUAUAUUCUGUAGCAAGGUUAACCGAAUAGGGGAGCCGAAGGGAAACCGAGUCUUAACUGGGCGUUAAGUUGCAGGGUAUAGACCCGAAACCCGGUGAUCUAGCCAUGGGCAGGUUGAAGGUUGGGUAACACUAACUGGAGGACCGAACCGACUAAUGUUGAAAAAUUAGCGGAUGACUUGUGGCUGGGGGUGAAAGGCCAAUCAAACCGGGAGAUAGCUGGUUCUCCCCGAAAGCUAUUUAGGUAGCGCCUCGUGAAUUCAUCUCCGGGGGUAGAGCACUGUUUCGGCAAGGGGGUCAUCCCGACUUACCAACCCGAUGCAAACUGCGAAUACCGGAGAAUGUUAUCACGGGAGACACACGGCGGGUGCUAACGUCCGUCGUGAAGAGGGAAACAACCCAGACCGCCAGCUAAGGUCCCAAAGUCAUGGUUAAGUGGGAAACGAUGUGGGAAGGCCCAGACAGCCAGGAUGUUGGCUUAGAAGCAGCCAUCAUUUAAAGAAAGCGUAAUAGCUCACUGGUCGAGUCGGCCUGCGCGGAAGAUGUAACGGGGCUAAACCAUGCACCGAAGCUGCGGCAGCGACGCUUAUGCGUUGUUGGGUAGGGGAGCGUUCUGUAAGCCUGUGAAGGUGUGCUGUGAGGCAUGCUGGAGGUAUCAGAAGUGCGAAUGCUGACAUAAGUAACGAUAAAGCGGGUGAAAAGCCCGCUCGCCGGAAGACCAAGGGUUCCUGUCCAACGUUAAUCGGGGCAGGGUGAGUCGACCCCUAAGGCGAGGCCGAAAGGCGUAGUCGAUGGGAAACAGGUUAAUAUUCCUGUACUUGGUGUUACUGCGAAGGGGGGACGGAGAAGGCUAUGUUGGCCGGGCGACGGUUGUCCCGGUUUAAGCGUGUAGGCUGGUUUUCCAGGCAAAUCCGGAAAAUCAAGGCUGAGGCGUGAUGACGAGGCACUACGGUGCUGAAGCAACAAAUGCCCUGCUUCCAGGAAAAGCCUCUAAGCAUCAGGUAACAUCAAAUCGUACCCCAAACCGACACAGGUGGUCAGGUAGAGAAUACCAAGGCGCUUGAGAGAACUCGGGUGAAGGAACUAGGCAAAAUGGUGCCGUAACUUCGGGAGAAGGCACGCUGAUAUGUAGGUGAGGUCCCUCGCGGAUGGAGCUGAAAUCAGUCGAAGAUACCAGCUGGCUGCAACUGUUUAUUAAAAACACAGCACUGUGCAAACACGAAAGUGGACGUAUACGGUGUGACGCCUGCCCGGUGCCGGAAGGUUAAUUGAUGGGGUUAGCGGUAACGCGAAGCUCUUGAUCGAAGCCCCGGUAAACGGCGGCCGUAACUAUAACGGUCCUAAGGUAGCGAAAUUCCUUGUCGGGUAAGUUCCGACCUGCACGAAUGGCGUAAUGAUGGCCAGGCUGUCUCCACCCGAGACUCAGUGAAAUUGAACUCGCUGUGAAGAUGCAGUGUACCCGCGGCAAGACGGAAAGACCCCGUGAACCUUUACUAUAGCUUGACACUGAACAUUGAGCCUUGAUGUGUAGGAUAGGUGGGAGGCUUUGAAGUGUGGACGCCAGUCUGCAUGGAGCCGACCUUGAAAUACCACCCUUUAAUGUUUGAUGUUCUAACGUUGACCCGUAAUCCGGGUUGCGGACAGUGUCUGGUGGGUAGUUUGACUGGGGCGGUCUCCUCCUAAAGAGUAACGGAGGAGCACGAAGGUUGGCUAAUCCUGGUCGGACAUCAGGAGGUUAGUGCAAUGGCAUAAGCCAGCUUGACUGCGAGCGUGACGGCGCGAGCAGGUGCGAAAGCAGGUCAUAGUGAUCCGGUGGUUCUGAAUGGAAGGGCCAUCGCUCAACGGAUAAAAGGUACUCCGGGGAUAACAGGCUGAUACCGCCCAAGAGUUCAUAUCGACGGCGGUGUUUGGCACCUCGAUGUCGGCUCAUCACAUCCUGGGGCUGAAGUAGGUCCCAAGGGUAUGGCUGUUCGCCAUUUAAAGUGGUACGCGAGCUGGGUUUAGAACGUCGUGAGACAGUUCGGUCCCUAUCUGCCGUGGGCGCUGGAGAACUGAGGGGGGCUGCUCCUAGUACGAGAGGACCGGAGUGGACGCAUCACUGGUGUUCGGGUUGUCAUGCCAAUGGCACUGCCCGGUAGCUAAAUGCGGAAGAGAUAAGUGCUGAAAGCAUCUAAGCACGAAACUUGCCCCGAGAUGAGUUCUCCCUGACUCCUUGAGAGUCCUGAAGGAACGUUGAAGACGACGACGUUGAUAGGCCGGGUGUGUAAGCGCAGCGAUGCGUUGAGCUAACCGGUACUAAUGAACCGUGAGGCUUAACC